rnacentral:lncRNA from 1 species
CCUGAGCUUGUAGGGACCAUGACCUUAACUGUGCAGGUGGGACUGGUCUGAAGCCUAAGAGUCAGCUCAUUGAGUGGCCUCCUACAUGACCAACCUGGCAUCUGAAGAAGCCUCCCUCAGGGCAUUGGAAAGUUUGAUGACAGAAUUUUUUCCAUGAUUGUACAACCAAUUAAAGAAAAUGUGAGAUAGAAGAGGUUCUUGAUAAUUUUUCCCAGCAAAUAGGAGCCUGGAUAUUCUGCCUCUUCCCUCCAGCACAAGGGAUGACUAAGUAAU